AAACAAUAACAGCCCAGGACCCGACUGGGCCCGUAGCCAGCGCCAGCGCGGACCUGGCUCCUGCCCUGCUGUGGUUUGUGCGGUCUUGGGGCUAGUGCUAACAGCACCAGUUCCUCUUGGCUGCCUGGAGACUGAAACCGUUCUCGGAGACAAACUGUAAACAGGAACGGGGGCGGUGGCUGCUGGAUUGAAACUGCGGUGAUCUUUGUUGCUCUCGGGGCCCUGCACCAUGUCCAGAUCAAAGCUGGAUCGAAGUGUGGAAUGAGACUUCAAGAAAAAACAUGGCCACCCUGGCAAACCUUCUGUAUGUUGGAUGGGUGACCGCUGCCAUCAUCGUCCGGGCAGGACAGAUGACAGUGUGGUACAAAAAUAUAAUCGGCGGCAAUCCAUGGAUUUGAGGGUGAGCUCUACCAUGGCUCAUCGAUGGAUCUGGAGCUGACUUGAGAUCACAGCUCUUGAGCCACAGAUCCAUCCACAGAAGUUGCAGGCCUUUCCG